CUUUACAGCAACGCAAGAGAACAAUUUUGGAACGCUCCAAUGCUUUAGCAAAAGGUGUUAAUGGAUGUAUUGUUGUACAAAGUGUGUUACUUGAUGAGGUUGCAAAUCUUGUUGAGGCACCUGUUCCAGUACUGGGGAAGUUUAACGAGUCAUUCUUAGAGCUUCCAAAAGAUCUAUUAAUAAUGGUUAUGCAGAAGCACCAGAAGUAUUUUGCCAUAACUGAUGAGGAUGGAAAGCUGUUGCCAUACUUCAUUGCUGUUGCAAAUGGAGCAAUUAAUGAGAUGGUAGUGAAGAAAGGAAAUGAAGCUGUACUCAGGUCAUUGCUGAACUUGGCCGUU